GAUGAACGCUGGCGGCGUGCCUAAUACAUGCAAGUCGAGCGAAUGGAUUAAGAGCUUGCUCUUAUGAAGUUAGCGGCGGACGGGUGAGUAACACGUGGGUAACCUGCCCAUAAGACUGGGAUAACUCCGGGAAACCGGGGCUAAUACCGGAUAACAUUUUGAACCGCAUGGUUCGAAAUUGAAAGGCGGCUUCGGCUGUCACUUAUGGAUGGACCCGCGUCGCAUUAGCUAGUUGGUGAGGUAACGGCUCACCAAGGCAACGAUUCGUAGCCGACCCGAGAGGGUGAUAGGCCACACUGGGACUGAGACAAGGCCCAGGCUCCUACCGGAGGCAGCAGUAGGGAAUCUUCCGCAAUGGACGAAAGUCUGACGGAGCAACGCCGCGUGAGUGAUGAAGGCUUUCGGGUCGUAAAACUCUGUUGUUAGGGAAGAACAAGUGCUAGUUGAAUAAGCUGACACCUUGACGGUACCUAACCAGAAAGCCACGGCUAACUACGUGCCAGCCGCCGCAGUAA
rnacentral:rRNA from 1 species